AGCAUCUAAGCAUGAAGCCCCCCUCAAGAUGAGAUUUCCCAACUUCGGUUAUAAGAUCCCUCGAAGAUGACGAGGUUAAUAGGUUCGAGGUGGAAGCGUGGUGACACGUGGAGCUGACGAAUACUAAUCGAUCGAAGACUUAAUCAAUUUUU
rnacentral:rRNA from 1 species